GAGUCUCACAUUAUAAACAGGUACCACACCAACACGCACUAUCACAAGAUCUGCCUGAACAGAUGCAACUAGCAGCAACUUGAUAGAUUUAAAUGAGCAAAAAGGAAAGCCGUCGAUAUUUCAGCAUCUGUCAUCCUCUCGACUGACUUCAGACUUGUGUGCGACAGUUUGUCUGCUCUCCUGGUUCAGAAGACCCACACACAGGUUUACAGCAGCAUCGACGAAUCAUGCAAACAGCAGCUUUUAUAGGUUCCCACAAAGUCUAGAAAAACAUGUAAAGGCAUUCCACUCAUGACUAUGUAGCCUGUAAUCUGUCUGAUGAUGUCAGUGGACCACAGGAAUGCUAAAGCCAAGGAGACUGCACCCACUAAUUCAGCUCAGCAAGAACUAUCAAGUUUCAGGGCUCGGCGGCUGAAGGCACGCCCAUCGAUUGAGAAGUGGAGAGGAUCAUAGACCUACAGG